GACGAACGCUGGCGGCGCGCUUAACACAUGCAAGUCGAACGGAAAGGCCUGCUUUCCCUUGUGGAUUGCGGGUACUCGAGUGGCGAACGGGUGAGUAACACGUGAGUGAUCUGCCCCCAACUUGGGUAUAAGCCUGGGAAACUGGGUCUAAUUCCCGAUAGGACUGCAGGGUGGUGCCUUUGGUGGAAAACGAUUUUCUAGUGGUUGGGGAUGAGCUCGCGGCCUAUCAGCUUGUUGGUGGGGUAAUGGCCUACCAAGGCGGCGACGGGUAGCCGGCCUGUGAGGGUGGACGGCCGCAUUGGGACUGGGAUACGGCCCAGACUGCUCCGGGCGGCAGCAGUGGGGAAUAUAGCACAAUGGGCGGAAGCCUGAUGCAGCGACGCCGCGUGGGGGAUGACGGCCUUCGGGUUGUAAACUCCUUUCGACCGGGAGGAAGCCACCUGGUUGGAAGGGUGGUGACGGUAGUGGUAGAAGAAGCACCGGCUAACUACGUG
rnacentral:rRNA from 1 species